UACGUAGGUGGCAAGCGUUGUCCGGAUUUAUUGGGGUUAAAGGGUGCGUAGGCGGCCCUGUAAGUCAGUUGUGAAAUACGGCAGCUUAACUGUCGAGGUGCAAUUGAUACUGCAGGGCUUGAGUACUGAUGAGGUAGGCGGAAUGGACGGUGUAGCGGUGAAAUGCUUAGAGAUCGUCCAGAACACCGAUAGCGAAGGCAGCUUACUAAGGAGUAACUGACGCUGAGGCACGAAAGUGUGGGGAUCAAACAGG
rnacentral:rRNA from 1 species